GUCCUCAUAGCUCAGAUGGAUAGAGCGUCUGCCUCCGGAGCAGAAGGCCGCAGGUUCGAAUCCUGUUGAGGACACCA
rnacentral:tRNA from 1 species